rnacentral:rRNA from 1 species
UACGUAGGGGGCUAGCGUUGUCCGGAAUCAUUGGGCGUAAAGCGCGCGUAGGCGGCCCGGUAAGUCCGCUGUAAAAGUCAAAGGCUCAACCUUUGAAUGUCAGUGGAUACUGCCGGGCUAGAGUCCGGAAGAGGCGAGUGGAACUCCUGGUGUAGCGGUGAAAUGCGCAGAUAUCAGGAGGAACACCGAUGGCGAAGGCAGGUCUCUGGGCAUUAACUGACGCUGAGGAGCGAAAGCCAGGGGAGCGAACGGG